GGGCCACAUCACAUUGAACCACAGGUUCCCAUACGAUCACCAAAGUUAAGCAGUGCCAAGCCUGGUCAUUACCUAGAUGGUUGUCGACUAUGGAAUAUCAGGUGCUGUAAG